CAGCAGCCGCGGGAAUACGUAGGUCCCGAGCGUUGUCCGGAUUUAUUGGGCGUAAAGCGAGCGCAGGCGGUUAGAUAAGUCUGAAGUUAAAGGCUGUGGCUUAACCAUAGUACGCUUUGGAAACUGUUUAACUUGAGUGCAAGAGGGGAGAGUGGAAUUCCAUGUGUAGCGGUGAAAUGCGUAGAUAUAUGGAGGAACACCGGUGGCGAAAGCGGCUCUCUGGCUUGUAACUGACGCUGAGGCUCGAAAGCGUGGGGAGCAAACAGGAUUAGAUACCCCAGUAGUCCCUGUCUCUUAUACA
rnacentral:rRNA from 1 species